rnacentral:lncRNA from 1 species
AUGGGUGACUUAUUCUCCUCCAGGCACAUGAGUUGGCAUCUCUUUCUCUGCAUAGAGGUACCAAACCUUGCCAAGUUCUUGGCCUCUUCCAACAAAGCAGAGGGUCAAGAAGACACACAGGUUCUGCUGGACUCUUCAGGCCAUGGCAGUCCCAAGUACCAGAACCAGGUCUGCCUUGUACCUGUGCUGCUCUGUACCUCUCCACAGGCCCAGCAGGGGCUCUGCCGAUGCUCAGGGUCGUGCAGGCCCAUCCUGAAACCUGGCACACAAAAAUGGAUCCAGUCCAGACUGAAUAACUGGCCUCCCCUCUAGUCAGCAUCCCCAGAGACAUGGCAAGGACGCAGUCCACAGAAGGUGAGUGCAGAGCUGGAUGCACUGUCACUGAAAUUACACCCUUAACUUUCAGAGGGAGAAGACAGCUCAAAGAAGGAAUAGUAGUAGAAGGCUCCCCUUGUGAUCUGAUGCUUGCAUAGCUGCAUCCAAUGUUGCUGAACCUAGAGCCUACAGGCCUGUUUUGUUCUUUUCAAGACAACCCCUGGCCUGAGUUGAACAAAUAGAAAAGA